AAAAACUUUUUUCGAAAUUUAAAACUACACCUGCGUGGUGUUUUUUUUAGCGUGUUCCUAUGCCUGUGUGCCAAAAACAAAAACCAAAUAUCCUUGCGGUGCCACAAAAUUUUCAUCUCCGGUUUUUGCCAGCGUUUAUAUGUAUAUAGACCCUGAUUUCUGCUUGUUUUGUGCUACAAAAUCUAUAUUACUAUCCGGUACCGGAUCCAGAACUGCAGCUGGAUUCGCAAUGCUGACGCUGAGCAAAAGGCAGAUGUGAACCGACAACACCUCCGUGGCAACCUCCUCCAAGCCGAUACGCGACACGUUCCGGUCUCCGCAACCAGAGAUCAUUAGAUCAUUAGAUCUCCAGCAGCAGGAUGGAUCCUUACAUCCUUUAUUGUACCAGAACGGCAUGAAGCUACCGCACAGAGAAACUACUGGUUCGGGGAACCAGUUGGAAUCGAUUUUCAUGGUCGUUUUGUGCUCUUCGUCACAGGGGGUUUUGUCGACCAAUUCUUGCAAAAUUCAUCAGUAGGCCCCAUUCACAAAUUUCAUAACGCUAGAGGGGGUGGGUGGGUGUUGUCAGGAUGUUACGGCUCAUACAAAACUCGUAAAAUAUUCAUACAAAAUGCGUUACGAGGGGGUGGGUGGGUAUUGAAAAUGGCCAUUUUCGGCGUUAUGAAAUUUGUGAAUGAACCCAGUAAGAUGCUAAUAGUAUCGAUGCAAGUUUUUAGCCCAAUAGCUUACAAAAAACCUCCUGUGACGGAAAGAACAAAGCUGCCGAAAAUACUAGUCAUACUAGCUCGGCACACAGACAAUAUGAUGUGAAAAUUUAUUCCAUAUAGACAAAAAAGAGUGGAGUGCAAUUUUAAAUCAAUCAAUAAUAAACAAUCUAAAUAAAA
rnacentral:lncRNA from 1 species